UAAUGACUAUCUUCUUUAACAGGAAAAGUACCGUUAUGUUUGCUUUUUUUUUGUUAAUUGCGUCCCGCUUCGCCUGCGCAAGAUCAAUUAAAUCGUACUAUUUUUUAGUAGUGUCAAUGUGCUUAGGAAUAACUGAUUAGUUUCGUUGCGCAUGAAGGGUAUUUCUGUGUUGCUAUUUUGGCAAUAAAAAUAAUAUGUGGUGUAUUAAAUGAAGUUAUGCCUCUUUAUCUAAAAAAAGUGAAUACAAUCGUCUGUAUUACUUAUGUAUAUAUGUAAUAUGCCAAUACGUCAAUAUGCCUUGGACGUCGUUUCCAGGAAUUUCGGUUUUCCCGUUUAUUAUAGAAUAUAAAGUCGCUGUGUGAGAUAUAGUAGUUUGUCGCUUUUGUCCACUUAUCUUCAAGAAGCGAACGGUGAAGUUUCGCGAACCGACUGGCAACAAUAGCGACCGAGAUGUCAAAACAAAAACAUGAAUUAGCCUUGAUGUCGACAGCAGAUAUCGAGAAAGAGCACACUUUCUGGGUCUACCGUUAGAUGAG